GCAUCAGCGUCCUCUAGUGGGUCAAUAACCAGCAGGGAGUCCUUGGUCCCGCUUCUCACAUGGGCGCGUGGUGGGAGAGGCUGUCCGUCCUUCCGGCCCCAGAACAACUGAACCAACAAGUUGAUAACAUUAACAGCCUGGCCCCGCUGACAUCGCAGCUGAGAGUGACAGAUGUCCCGGGUUCUGAGCUGAGUGCCGAGGGUGAGAUUCUCACGGUGGGGGCACCAACUGGAGUAUAUAGAGGGAGGACAGACAGAAGACACAAGACAGAAGAAGAAAUCACAGUGGACAAAUGAUCAGCAAACGUCUGUGAUCUGAUUGUAGAUACAACUGAGGUUAUGGCAUUCUCUACUGCUGUCACCAUGAAGUAAAAUAGCUGUCAUUUAUUUUGGUUUUACGAUAUAUAGUACUGCUGUGGUGGCCCCACAGGUUCCACCAACAACAGAGUCUAGCAGCAUCUAAUGAAUAUUACAUUGAGAGUAUAGCAGAGUUAGGUCAGAUGUUCUUUCUCAAAAAUCAGUUACACUGCAGACAUACAUGUAUGUCCAAUUAGCUUAAGACAAGCAGCUGUUGACAUUAUCCAGCACAAAAUGUACUUCCACCAUGAAAUAAACUUGACCAAAGUCUA